rnacentral:lncRNA from 1 species
GGCAGAAGCCGGAAGUUUGUCCUCGCCUCUGAGGAAGUCCGGGGCAUGAAACUGAGGAGAGGUAACUAGCCAUGCAGAAGGUUGAAGAGAGGAGAGGCAAGAUGGAGGAGCACCAUGACAGCUGUCUGCCUCCACACAGGUCCCUCCUGCUGACUCAAGCUGAGGCUAGGUUAUGUCGCCCCUGUUGCUAACCCAUCUCUUCUGAACUGGACUGCUGGUGUAUCCUUGAAGUGUUUGUGAAUGGAUCAAGCUGCUGCUGCCUGCUAACCAAUGACCUGAACUGCCAAUUUCCAGACAACACAUUCGAGAGUUGCUCCAAGAACCUUUCUAAACAGGGUUCAGCUGAGAGGUCGGGUUAAAGAAAGUGUGGAAUUGGAGACAGCGGGGUAGAAGAACCAAUGAGUACGGCGAAGAGAGAACCAACGGAGAAAGAUUUCAGUGAGCGCGGGAAGAGAAGCAACAGUGUCCGAUCCCGGUUCCCAAUAAGACACUGCAAAGGAAUGCACUGAGUGUAUAAGGCUCCUUUGAGGUUCAAAAAAUAGAGAAAGAAAAAGCGUUGCCUUUGCAGCCUACCCAGGUGUUCUCUAAACACUGUAAUUUCUUCUUUGUGGGUCGGUGGCCCAGCUGCAUCUUUCCCACGCACCUCGUGACCAUCUCCAGCACUGACCUCCAGCCACUAGGCUCACAAAGAGUUGUUUCAAAAGCACCUUUUUGUGGCAGGAUUCUGGGAUCGGAUCUAAGAAGCCAGUUAACUAAAGGCAGCCAUGUGAUUACGAGGAGCAGUGCAUAGCCUUCCCCUCUGCGAAUCAGACAGAGAGAGCCUCACCACCCUCUGAGCUUACAGAAACAUCUUGAUAUUAUCCAAAAAGGCAUUGGUUCUGUGUUGCUGUUCCAGGUCUCUACAGCUGAGAUAAGGAUGAAGGACCAUCUUGGCACUAACUGAAGUCUGGAAGAUCGAAGAGUAUGGCCCUCCAAGAGCCCACAACAGAACUCUGCAUAAGAGCAGCCCCGAACACCAAGGCUACUGACAUCCUACCCUGUGAAAAAAAGUCCACACUGACAAAGGACGGAGUGUCAAUGCUAAUUCCCUAGAAGACUUGAUUAGAUAAACGGAUUCACGGAUACUUCUGGGCACUCAGUGUCCUUGGCUGAAUCUAUCACUUAGUAGGACCUUCGGGACACAGCCUGACCACAUGUUUUGAUACUAUCACUCCUGGUUCCUGAACAUAAAUACAGAGUCAAAACGGCAGCAGUGUGCUAAGGGCCUGUGGUGGUUUGAAUACGCUUGGUCCGUGCACAUGCAUGCAGUGGCCACGGAAGCCAGAAGGAGACAUUGGAUUCCCUAGAACUGGAGUUACAGGGAGGUGCAGGAACUGGAUGGUGGGAAUGGGACCUAGGUCCUCAAAUCAUUAGUGGGAUCCGGGGCUUUUAUACCACUUAUAAUACAACCAGAAGCUUGGAUAACAAUGUGUACCUGCCCAUGUGACUCAAAUACCAUUUCUCUCCACAGAAAAGGCCAUGAGAAGUGACUUGGUGGAGAAAGUGUUUAAUUUUCAAAGCUUCAGAAUUUUAACAUGUUAUAUGCUUUCAAGACGCACAACAGUAGAAAACAUAUCUGAAGUUGGCUGUACAAAUUGCCCUAGAUUUUUGAAGCUUUCUGCUUCCCUUUCUCAGAGGGGGUACAUAGCACUAAGGCAUGCAAGAAUACUGACACAGUAGAUCCAUCUGCUACCAGAGAAGAAGGGCAAGGGUGCACAGAAAAACACCCCAACUCUCUCCCUGCCUGGGGGACAGUUCUGAGAUGUGCCCUUAAAGGUUUUCAGAGAUAAGAUCGGAGUUACCCACAGUGUUAUCCUGCUCAUUAAUAAAUCUUACG